rnacentral:rRNA from 1 species
CAAUAGCGUAUAUUAAAGUUGUUGCAGUUAAAAAGCUCGUAGUUGGAUUUCGGGGCAGCCUGGCUGGUCCGCCGCAAGGCGAGUACUGGUCAGCCGCCCUUCCUCUCGAAAGCCCCGACUGCUCUUCAUUGCAGUGGUCGGGUAGUUCGGGACGUUUACUUUGAAAAAAUUAGAGUGUUCAAGGCAGGCCUACGCCUGAAUACAUUAGCAUGGAAUAAUGGAAGAGGACCUCGGUCCUAUUUUGUUGGUUUCCAGGGCCGAAGUAAUGAUUAAGAGGGACAGUUGGGGGCAUUCGUAUUUAAUUGUCAGAGGUGAAAUUCUCGGAUUUAUGAAAGACGAACAACUGCGAAAGCAUUUGCCAAGGAUGUUCUCAUUAA